rnacentral:rRNA from 1 species
ACUCAAAUGAAUUGACGGGGACCCGCACAAGCAGUGGAGCAUGUGGUUUAAUUCGAUGCUACGCGAAAAACCUUACCACCUCUUGAAUCCCAUUGACCGGUACAGCGAUGUACUUUUGGAGCAAUCCACAGUGGAGACAGGUGUUGCAUGGCUGUCGUCAGCUCGUGUCGUGAGAUGUUAGGUUAAGUCCUUCAACGAGCGCAACCCUCAUCCUUAUUUGCCAUCGGGUUAUGCCGGGAACUAUAAGGAAACUGCCUACGACAAGUAGGAGGAAGGUGGGGACGAUGUCAAGUCAUCAUGGCCCUUAUGGGGUGGGCUACACACAUGCUACAAUGGUGGUUACAGCAGGAAGCCAAGCAGCAAUGCGGAGCAAAUCCUUAAAAGCCAUCUCAGUUCAGAUUGAGGGCUGCAACUCGCCCUCAUGAAGUUGGAAUUGCUAGUAAUCGUAGAUCAGCACGCUACGGUGAAUACGUUCUCGGGUCUUGUACACACCGCCCGU